rnacentral:rRNA from 1 species
CCUACGGGUGGCAGCAGUGAGGAAUAUUGGUCAAUGGACGAGAGUCUGAACCAGCCAAGUAGCGUGAAGGAUGACUGCCCUAUGGGUUGUAAACUUCUUUUAUAUGGGAAUAAAAUGUUCCACGUGUGGGAUUUUGUAUGUACCAUAUGAAUAAGGAUCGGCUAACUCCGUGCCAGCAGCCGCGGUAAUACGGAGGAUCCGAGCGUUAUCCGGAUUUAUUGGGUUUAAAGGGAGCGUAGGUGGAUUGUUAAGUCAGUUGUGAAAGUUUGUGGCUCAACCGUAAAAUUGCAGUUGAAACUGGCAGUCUUGAGUACAGUAGAGGUGGGCGGAAUUCGUGGUGUAGCGGUGAAAUUCUUAGAUAUCACGAAGAACUCCGAUUGCGAAGGCAGUUCACUGGACUGCAACUGACACUGAGGCUCGAAAGUGUGGGUAUCAAACAGGAUUAGAUACCCGAGUAGUC